rnacentral:rRNA from 1 species
GACGAACGCUGGCGGCGUGCUUAACACAUGCAAGUCGAACGGAAAGGCCCUGCUUUUGUGGGGUGCUCGAGUGGCGAACGAGUGAGUAACACGUGAGUAACCUGCCCUUGACUUUGGGAUAACUUCAGGAAACUGGGGCUAAUACCGGUUAGGAGCUCCUGCUGCAUGGUGGGGGUUGGAAAGUUUCGGCGGUUGGGGAUGGACUCGCGGCUUAUCAGCUUGUUGGUGGGGUAGUGGCUUACCAAGGCUUUGACGGGUAGCCGGCCUGAGAGGGUGACCGGCCACAUUGGGACUGAGAUACGGCCCAGACUCCUACGGGAGGCAGCAGUGGGGAAUAUUGCACAAUGGGCGGAAGCCUGAUGCAGCAACGCCGCGUGCGGGAUGACGGCCUUCGGGUUGUAAACCGCUUUCGCCUGUGACGAAGCGUGAGUGACGGUAAUGGGUAAAGAAGCACCGGCUAACUACGUG